rnacentral:rRNA from 1 species
CCCUUAGAUGUUCUGGGCCGCACGCGCGCUACACUGACGAAGUCAGCGAGCAUGUCCUACGCCGACAGGUGCGGGGAAUCUUGUCAAACUUCGUCGUGAUGGGGAUUGAUUAUUGAAAUUCUUGAUCAUCAACGAGGAAUUCCUAGUAAGCGCAAGUCAGCAGCUUGCGUUGAUUACGUCCCUGCCCUUUGUACACACCGCCCGUCGCUACUACCGAUUGAAUGGUUUAGUGAGAUCUUCGGAUUGGCGCCACUGCGGCUCAGCAAUGGGCUCGAUGGAUGCCGAAAAGUUGAUCAAACUUGAUCAUUUAGAGGAAGUAAAAGUCGUAACA